rnacentral:rRNA from 1 species
UACGUAGGGGGCUAGCGUUGUCCGGAAUCAUUGGGCGUAAAGAGCGUGUAGGCGGCCCGGUAAGUCCGCUGUAAAAGUCAAAGGCUCAACCUUUGAAUGUCAGUGGAUACUGCCGGGCUAGAGUCCGGAAGAGGCGAGUGGAACUCCUGGUGUAGCGGUGGAAUGCGCAGAUAUCAGGAAGAACACCAACGGCGAAGGCAGCUCGCUGGGACGGUACUGGCGCUGAGACGCGAAAGCGUGGGGAGCGAACAGG